AGUGAACGCUGGCGGUAGGCCUAACACAUGCAAGUCGAACGGCAGCACAGUAAGAGCUUGCUCUUACGGGUGGCGAGUGGCGGACGGGUGAGGAAUACAUCGGAAUCUACUUUUUCGUGGGGGAUAACGUAGGGAAACUUACGCUAAUACCGCAUACGACCUACGGGUGAAAGCAGGGGAUCUUCGGACCUUGCGCGAUUGAAUGAGCCGAUGUCGGAUUAGCUAGUUGGCGGGGUAAAGGCCCACCAAGGCGACGAUCCGUAGCUGGUCUGAGAGGAUGAUCAGCCACAUGGGAACGGAGACACGGACCAGACUCCUGAGGGAGGCAGCAGUGGGGAAUAUUGGACAAUGGGCGCAAGCCUGAUCCAGCCAUACCGCGUGGGUGAAGAAGGCCUUCGGGUUGUAAAGCCCUUUUGUUGGGAAAGAAAAGCAGCAGGUUAAUACCCCGCUGUUCUGACGGUACCCAAAGAAUAAGCGCCGGCUAACUUCGUG
rnacentral:rRNA from 1 species